ensembl:lncRNA
UGGUUAGAGGAGGCAGGUAGCCUAGUGGUUAGAGGAGGCAGGUAGCCUAGUGGUUAGAGGAGGCAGGUAGUCUAGUGGUUAGAGGAGGCAGGUAGCCUAGUGGUUAGAGGAGGCAGGCAGCCUAGUGGUUAGAGGAGGCAGGUAGCCUAGUGGUUAGAGGAGGCAGGUAGCCUAGUGGUUAGAGGAGGCAGGUAGCCUAGUGGUUAGAGGAGGCAGGUGGCCUAGUGGUUAGAGGAGGCAGGUAGCCUAGUGGUUAGAGGAGGCAGGUAGCCUAGUGGUUAGAGGAGGGAGGCAGGUAGCCUAGUGGUUAGAGGAGGCAGGUAGCCUAGUGGGUAGAGGAGGCAGGUAGCCUAGUGGGUAGAGGAGGGAGGUAGCCUAGUGGUUAGAGGAGGCAGGUAGCCUAGUGGUUAGAGGAGGCAGGUAGCCUAGUGGGUAGAGGAGGGAGGUAGCCUAGUGGUUAGAGGAGGCAGGUAGCCUAGUGGUUAGAGGAGGCAGGUAGCCUAGUGGUUAGAGGAGGGAGGUAGCCUAGUGGUUAGAGGAGGCAGGUAGCCUUGUGGUUAGAGGAGGGAGGUAGCCUUGUGGUUAGAGGAGGCAGGUAGCCUAGUGGUUAGAGGAGGCAGGUAGCCUAGUGGUUAGAGGAGGCAGGUAGCCUAGUGGUUAGAGGAGGCAGGUAGCCUA